rnacentral:lncRNA from 1 species
AGGAGAGCAGCGAGCUCCUCUGAGUACACAAAAGACCUUGUAAAGCCUGCCCUUGACCUCAGCUGUCCCUGCUGGCAGAAGAUCAGACUCAUUCUAAAGCAGAUCUAUCGCUUUGGGUUUUCUCCAGGGCCAACAGGGCACGAUUCCAGAUCACGAUUUCGGGACUCAUCCUGGCCAGCAGCAAGCUGCCUGCUGGAGUUAUCCUCAGGAACACUCUGGCCUCCUGAGAAUCACCCAAUCAAAAUGCCCGGGAGCAGGGCCAGCCUCCCUCAGGCCUUUUCUGAUCUUGCUGGGACAUCAGUUUUGAGCCAGCACCUAUUCCACAAUGAGAGGACGCUGUGAGACAGCCAGGCUUCAGGCAUCUUGAAAGGAUCUUCACUAAGAAGGGUAUUGCGUGGGCAUCUCUUAGAGCCAAUUCACAAGCAGCACAGCAGAGCCUACACUUGGACACUUACAGUGACAGACAGAAGACAGUUGCUAGCCACGCAAGUACUAACACCUCUGGCUGGAAGCAGCAGAGUAGGUGGGAGACAAAGGUGAGUGAAGAAACCAG